UGAUUUGCUGGUUAAGGAGGAAAACUUUUUAAUUAGCAGAUUUAAAAGGGAAGUCUGGAUGAGAUGUGCUAAUUUAUUCUCGUUACAGCGCGGUCCCGCCACUGUAAGCAAUAAAAGACUACUUUAAUUAUACCACCUGGUUAUCGAUUAAAAAUAACUAGGGAAGGUGAAGCAAAGUCUGUUGUGAGCCAGGAAACCUGCCUGUUUAAUCGCUAAAUC
rnacentral:ncRNA from 2 species